rnacentral:rRNA from 1 species
UGGCGUAAAGAGCAUGUAGGCGGUUGUUUAAGUCUGAUGUGAAAGCCCUGGGCUCAACCCAGGAAGGGCAUUGGAUACUGGAUAACUUGAGUACGGGAGAGGAAAGUGGAAUUUCGAGUGUAGGGGUGAAAUCCGUAGAUAUUCGAAGGAACACCAGUGGCGAAGGCGGCUUUCUGGACCGAUACUGACGCUGAGAUGCGAAAGCGUGGGGAGCAAACAGGAUUAGAUGCCCUGGUAGUCCACGCCGUAAACGAUGGGUACUAGGUGUCGCGGGUAUUGACCCCUGCGGUGCCAAAGCUAACGCAUUAAGUACCCCGCCUGGGGAGUACGGCCGCAAGGCUAGAACUCAAAGGAAUUGACGGGGGCCCGCACAAGCGGUGGAGCAUGUGGUUUAAUUCGACGCAACGCGAAGAACCUUACCUGGGCUUGACAUCCCGAUCGCACCUUAUGGAAACAUUUGGGUCAGCUUGGCUGGAUCGGUGACAGGUGCUGCAUGGCUGUCGUCAGCUCGUGUCGUGAGGUGUUGGGUUAAGUCCCGCAACGAGCGCAACCCUUGUCCUUAGUUGCCAUCAUUAAGUUGGGCACUCUAAGGAGACUGCCGGUGUUAAACCGGAGGAAGGUGGGGACGACGUCAAGUCAUCAUGGCCCUUAUGUCCAGGGCUACACACGUGCUACAAUGGCCGGUACAAAGGGCAGCAAUACCGCGAGGUGGAGCUAAUCCCAAAAAGCCGGUCUCAGUUCGGAUUGGAGUCUGCAACUCGGCUCCAUGAAGUUGGAAUCGCUAGUAAUCGCGUAUCAGCGUGACGCGGUGAAUACGUUCCCGGGCCUUGUACACACCGCCCGUCACACCACGGGAGUUGAUUGUACCUGAAGCCGGUGGGCCAACCUUCGGGAGGCAGCCGUCUAUGGUAUGAUCGGUAACUGGGGUGAAGUCGUAACAAGGUA